rnacentral:tRNA from 1 species
CAGGGAGACAACAAAAUGUUAAAUAUUAAUUUUGUCACUUAGGUCGAUCGGUACCUCACGUUCUUAAUUUAUUUAAGGAUUUCAUUUCCUAAGUUUUUUCUAGGUCACACCCAUUACCUUUCCUGGGCCAUUAGCUCAGGUGGUUAGAGCGCACCCCUGAUAAGGGUGAGGUCCCUGGUUCAAGUCCAGGAUGGCCCAUAUCUCUGUGUUGGGGGUAUAGCUCAGUUGGUAGAGCGCCUGCUUUGCAAGCAGGAUGUCAGCGGUUCGAGUCCGCUUACCUCCACUGAUCACCACCUCUUCCAUAAUUUGAUAGAAGGGAAAUGUUUUGAGAUGUGAUCAAAUUCUGAACGAAUCUAGCUUCCUAAUUAAACUCAUUAAGAUGCUGGACUCAUUGAAUUAAAUUCAUUGUUUUCAGAGAACCUUGACAACUGCAUAGAUUAUUUUUAAAGACAAUAAGCAUCUUUAAUGAUGCAGAUUUUUUAUUUGUGCGAAUGCAUUAAUAACAAUUCUAUUAAGCUGAUGCUUCAA